GGAGGCGGCGGGAGCAACCCGGGCCGCCGUGCGGGGUCCGGCCCCGGGCUCCGUGAGAGCCGCGGGGUUCGCUGCCUGCGCGGCGGCUCCGGCCCGGGGGAAGCCCUCGGAGCGCCCAGAGGCUCCGGCGAUGGGCCGGGACGCAGCGCGGGGGAGAGGCCCCGGCUCCAUUCGCCAGCUGGAUGCUAUUGAUCCCUUCCCUCGCCACCUCUUUCUUCCUGAGCUCCCUCUCCCGAUUUAAUUCCCUUCCCUCUGCUCCUCCGCAGCCGCCCGGGCAGCGCUCCGAGCGGAGCCGGGCAGUGCGGGCACCCGGGGGCGCAGAGCGGAACAGCGCGAAGGCACAAACGCCCCGGCCAGGACCAGCCCCAACGGAGGGGCCGCACCGCGGGCGGUGCUGCCGCCGAGCAGGCACCGGGCACCGGCCAAACCGUCGGGUUUUACCGGGCAAGGGAAGAAAAGGAGCCGGAAAGCGGCUCCACGCACCCCGCCGGGAGCCAAAAAGUUCCUUAAAGUUCUUUAAGGCUUCAAAAUAACAGCACCAUCGCCUGGCAGGUCCGGCCCAGGAGGUGUUUCGGGACAGGAGCGGAGCGGGGGUCGGGCCGGGACCUGCCCCCUCCCCCUCGCGGCUCCGCCGCCCGCCUCGCCCCGGUCCCGGUGGGUCGGGCCUGGGCCGCGCUUGGAGGGGGCAAAGCAGCAGCCCCGGGGGGCAGCGGAGCGGGGGGGCCGGGAAGGAGAGCUGGGGGCGAACCGGCCCCUCCACGGCUUUUCCGGAGACUUUUCUCGUUUACCCCGGAAACUUUGGGCGGCCUCGGAACUCCGCGGGAGGCGGCGGCGGGGUCGCGGCGGCGGCGGGGAGUGGGGACGGGGGGGUUCCCAUCCGAUUUCGCCCCGGGGGGGCGGUUUGAGGACGGGCCGUGUCUCUUUUCGAUGUGACCCCCGCAGGUUUUCCCCGAGCGGAGCGGCCCCGCGGAGCUGCGGCGCAUCCCGGGCCGGGGCCGGGCGCCUCCGGGGUUCCGCACCCACCCGGGCCGGGGAGCGGGGCCCGGCUCCCUCCCCGCUGCCCCCGCACCUCGAACACCCCCGGGAGUCUCCGGGAGCCCCUUUCAGCCGCAAUUUGUUUUCAAAAGUUCCCCGCAGAGCACCGCUGAACUUUACACCCUGGCAGCGGCACGGAGAGG